rnacentral:lncRNA from 1 species
UACUAAUAACAAAGCUAAAAUAUAGAAACUUUUCAUACAAAUACCUGAUUUUUUACCUUUUCUUUUUGACUUUUAAAAAUUUACAGUUUUCUUGCUUAAAAUUUCAAAAAUAUUUUUAAAAGGUUACGAUAUUACUAGAGAAGCUAGGCUGGUAUACUAUCGGUAGCAUGGAGGCCUCUGUGCUACCAAGUUGUUUUCAAUGAUGCGGCUUCCAAAUCGAUGAUCUGCUCCAUUAGACUUGAUCUACACUAUUAAAAGUAUUUGGAAACUAAAUUUCAUAAUUUUUCGGUAUCAUUUACAUAUCAAACGAAUAGUUUAAAAAUGAACGGCUGAAAAUAAAAAUCUCAUAAAAAAUGAUGAUAGAAGACUUGAAUUUAAGAUCAGAGGUACUGAUCUUACUCUAAAUAGUAAAAAAAAUUUUCUAUAAAAAUUUCAUCUGAUUUAGAUUGUUUUACACCGUUAAAUUCACAAACGCAUCACAUCUACCAUUAAAAUUGUCAAUUUUGAGACCUUUUGAUCACUAGCCAAAUGAUGUCGAAAAAUUAUGAAAUUUAAUUUCUAAAUACUUUUAAUAGUGUAGAUCAAGUCUAACGGAGCCGAUCGUCGAUUUAGAAGCCGCAUCAUCGAAAACAACUUGGUAGCACGAAGGCCUCCGUUCUACCGAUAGUAUAGUAGCCUAACUCUUAAUAGAGAUGACAAAAUGACCAAAUUAUUGUUACUUGUUUUCUAAAGAAAAAAUAAAUUUUAACAU